rnacentral:rRNA from 1 species
UACAGAGGUCUCAAGCGUUGUUCGGAUUCAUUGGGCGUAAAGGGUGCGUAGGCGGCGCGGUAAGUCGGGUGUGAAAUCUCGGAGCUUAACUCCGAAACUGCAUUCGAUACUGCCGCGCUUGAGGACUGGAGAGGAGACUGGAAUUUACGGUGUAGCGGUGAAAUGCGUAGAUAUCGUAAGGAAGACCAGUGGCGAAGGCGGGUCUCUGGACAGUUCCUGACGCUGAGGCACGAAGGUCAGGGGGAGCAAACGGG